AUUUCUUUAAUAAUAUGGAAGGAAGCCACGAUAUUCAGAAUAUAACUUUGGCGUAAAUGUUUCAACCUCCCAUUCAGCCAGUAGUCCAUGCGAAUUAAUUGUGAAACGAUAUCGAGAUUUUUAUUGAGUAAAACAGGACUUUUUGUAGACUGCAAGCAACUUCCUUAAAUUAGCCAUCCAGUAUCGCGUGCAACAAUCGGAGUUGUGCUCAUCCAGUUUAUGAAUGGAAUCCGCUGAUCUACGCAGAUAAGCCCGAGACGAUUGGUGCCUUGGAAGAGCAUAUUCGGCGCGUUAUGCGGAUAUACGGCUCCAAUCGCUGCAAAAAGUGGUCGAAAAUUGGACCCCUCGGUUGGAAAUUUAUUCGAGCCAGCCAAUCAUUUUUGAAACAUAAUGGAAAACCCUUAUCUUUAUAAUAAAGCUAAAUUCUUGGCGAUAACAUUAAAUGAGAUGCGUUAUUUUUCUUUACGAAAACCACAUGUCUCAUGACGUCACGACUUAAAAAUAUUUUCUUUCAAAUGCUCUCCACAAAAAUUAACGCAUGGAACGGUCGUAGUCUUCUUUUCGAUCAAUCUCGGUUGGACAGUGCCCGCAACGUUGAUGACUGGAUAAAUCAGCGAUAAUAUCGAUCAAACAAUUUAACAGAGAAGGCUAGCACUUGCGCACGCGAAUUUAUGUGCCGAUAAUGUAAACCUGAACAGUUAUUUUUUACAGGGUGGUCUCUCUUAGCAGUUUUUCUCUCUUAAGAUAUUGGUUGAAAGACUCAAAAUAAGAAGCUGACCUAUUCGAGAUGUCUUCGCCUGAUUUUUAACUGGAGAGUUAAUAUGUACACUUACGAGUCCUACGGUUGCACUGAGUCGUUAGGGAAUAUGGCUGUUUUAGCCAAGUGCUUUUGACUCAGUCGCGAAUCAUCAAUUAAAAAGGAAAGUAAUUUGGAUGGUAAGGAUCUUGGAAGAACAUGAAAAGGUCUCAAUAAAUCAUCCAAUAUUCUUUACGUCAUUUGUUGAACAGUGCACAACAUUACAAGUCCAUGACACAAUCUAUUUCCUGCACGCCAAAUGCGCUAAUCUUGACCUCGCCGUACUCAGUAAUGUCAAUUAAACUCUUUGGAUCUCAUUUUGAUGCCGUAAGUCUUUUUUUGAGGAGUUCUGAGAGAGACCUAUUAUAUGCGAACAAUUCAUUAAGAAUUUCGACCGAUUAAACAGAAUUGAGUCCGUCAUGUGUGAGAUAGAGACGAAAACUUUCACCAUCUAUCAUAUACAUUGCAUGUUUAUCAGAGGAUUACUACUAACUCCUUCCAACUGAUAUUUUUGUAGAUACAAAAAAAAAAAACACAUUUUGUGUGAUUAAGGCAAUUUUU